CAUUUGGAGAUCACCAACCUUUCGGAGUCCUGCAAAACCCUUGCAAAGAAGAGAAACAGUUGCAGAAGUGCAGCAACACUUCCCAGCAGUGGAGACUGUUCCCUGAGGGGAUGAUGAUCACCCUCAUCAGACAUACAGAUUUCCCCCCAAAUUCAUCUCAGUAACAAAGAUCACACACAUGAAAUUAAGCUGUUGAAAGCCUUCUGCUGAAGCAUCCUUAAAACUUGGUUCCAGCGAGGGUGCUCUGGAAGGUGCUUCAAGCUCAAGAGAAGAGGCCCUAACUGACUGCUUUCCAAGUAAUGCAGUGCCAGAAUCCUCACUUGCGUCGGGUGGAUGGGAUCCUUGCUAGCUGUAAACAUUCCCUCGGUAGAAGCCAUGGAAAGAAUCAAAUGGGAAAAGCUGGUUUGGCAUUUCGGCUUGCUGAAUUCAGGGAUGAAAAACCGGAGGGGUCUAAUCCAACAGACAGAUUUGGGCAGAGGCUGAAAGUAGCCAGCAAGAUCAGUCUGUGGAUCAAAGAUUUGGAGACAGAGGACAGUGGAGCAUGUAAAGUUUGUGUGAGAUUUGUUACAAAAGUGUUUCAAGAUCACACCUUCCUCCUUUAUGUAUAUGGUAAGUAAAAAUUUCACUGUUUGGGUCUACUAGUUGUGAAACAUAACAUGGGAUCUCUUUCGGGAAAUUUAUAAAACGAUAUCUGAGUAUAACCAAACACGGUCAGGAAGGGGGAAAAUCAGUUCCCCCCCCCCCCCGGAAUAAUGACUGAAAUGGACAUCCCAGAAGGUGCACCACAAGCAAACUUCACCGAUGCAGCACAAGCACAAGAGACGUGUCAGAGGCGAGAAGAUGUGGUCAGAUAAACUUCAGAAAUAGAUGCAGCCUUAACUAGUAUUUGCUGGCCUGCUGUUUUGCAUCUAGGCUCUCUGACAUUUAAACUGCAGGAAGAGGGUUUGUUCUCACAGGUUGAUAUUUAUAACACAGCUACAACAACGGCUGAUAUCUUCUAUAUCUGAGAAGUGGGAGGAGAAAGCCAAGGGUGGACGUAUGGCCACAGGAAACAGUCAGUGUCCUCAACAUCCAUCUCUCAGGGCCCAUCCAUACCUUGGCUCAGUGUGGAUUAUGAACCCCUCGUGCAUCUUCUAAUUCCCCCCCCCCUUGUCCAUGUCGCCUUCUCCUUCCACUUCUGCUGCCCCCGACUUUCUCAUCCCUAAAUCUGCACAUGUCCUAUGCAAUCAAUGCAGCUCUCCUAUUGAGAUUUCUAAAGCAUAGGGGAUCUCUGGCUUAGGGAGAAGAAAGCACAGGGAAGCAGGAGUUGGAGGAGAAAGCUAUAUGGAUGAAGGUGGAAUUAGAAGAUGCACAAGGGGUUCACAAUCCAUAUUAAGGAGAGGUGUGG